AUUGAACGCUGGCGGCAGGCCUAACACAUGCAAGUCGAGCGGAGCGGCGGACGGGCGAGUAAUGCCUAGGAAUCUGCCUGUUAGUGGGGGAUAACGUCCGGCAACGGGCGCUAAUACCGCAACCUAUCAGAUUAGCAUAGGUCGGAUUAGCUAGUUGGUGGGGUAAAGGCCUACCAAGGCGACGCUCCGUAACUGGUCUGAGCGGAUGAUCAGGCACCCGUGAGCUGAGACACGGUCCAGACUCAUACGGGAGGCAGCAGUGAGGAAUAUUGGGCAAUGGGCGAAAGCCUGAUCCAGCCAUGCCGCGUGUGUGAAGAAGGUCUUCGGAUUGUAAAGCACUUUAAGUUGGGAGGCGUUACCAACAGAAUAAGCACCGGCUAACGUCGUGCCAGCAGCCGCGGUAAUUC
rnacentral:rRNA from 1 species